AGAGUUUGAUCCUGGCUCAGGACGAACGCUGGCGGCGUGCCUAAUACAUGCAAGUCGAACGCUUCUUUUUCCACCGGAGCUUGCUCCACCGGAAAAAGAGGAGUGGCGAACGGGUGAGUAACACGUGGGUAACCUGCCCAUCAGAAGGGGAUAACACUUGGAAACAGGUGCUAAUACCGUAUAACAAUCGAAACCGCAUGGUUUUGAUUUGAAAGGCGCUUUCGGGUGUCGCUGAUGGAUGGACCCGCGGUGCAUUAGCUAGUUGGUGAGGUAACGGCUCACCAAGGCCACGAUGCAUAGCCGACCUGAGAGGGUGAUCGGCCACAUUGGGACUGAGACACGGCCCAAACUCCUACGGGAGGCAGCAGUAGGGAAUCUUCGGCAAUGGACGAAAGUCUGACCGAGCAACGCCGCGUGAGUGAAGAAGGUUUUCGGAUCGUAAAACUCUGUUGUUAGAGAAGAACAAGGAUGAGAGUAACUGUUCAUCCCUUGACGGUAUCUAACCAGAAAGCCACGGCUAACUACGUGCCAGCAGCCGCGGUAAUACGUAGGUGGCAAGCGUUGUCCGGAUUUAUUGGGCGUAAAGCGAGCGCAGGCGGUUUCUUAAGUCUGAUGUGAAAGCCCCCGGCUCAACCGGGGAGGGUCAUUGGAAACUGGGAGACUUGAGUGCAGAAGAGGAGAGUGGAAUUCCAUGUGUAGCGGUGAAAUGCGUAGAUAUAUGGAGGAACACCAGUGGCGAAGGCGGCUCUCUGGUCUGUAACUGACGCUGAGGCUCGAAAGCGUGGGGAGCAAACAGGAUUAGAUACCCUGGUAGUCCACGCCGUAAACGAUGAGUGCUAAGUGUUGGAGGGUUUCCGCCCUUCAGUGCUGCAGCUAACGCAUUAAGCACUCCGCCUGGGGAGUACGACCGCAAGGUUGAAACUCAAAGGAAUUGACGGGGGCCCGCACAAGCGGUGGAGCAUGUGGUUUAAUUCGAAGCAACGCGAAGAACCUUACCAGGUCUUGACAUCCUUUGACCACUCUAGAGAUAGAGCUUCCCCUUCGGGGGCAAAGUGACAGGUGGUGCAUGGUUGUCGUCAGCUCGUGUCGUGAGAUGUUGGGUUAAGUCCCGCAACGAGCGCAACCCUUAUUGUUAGUUGCCAUCAUUCAGUUGGGCACUCUAGCAAGACUGCCGGUGACAAACCGGAGGAAGGUGGGGAUGACGUCAAAUCAUCAUGCCCCUUAUGACCUGGGCUACACACGUGCUACAAUGGGAAGUACAACGAGUCGCGAAGUCGCGAGGCUAAGCUAAUCUCUUAAAGCUUCUCUCAGUUCGGAUUGCAGGCUGCAACUCGCCUGCAUGAAGCCGGAAUCGCUAGUAAUCGCGGAUCAGCACGCCGCGGUGAAUACGUUCCCGGGCCUUGUACACACCGCCCGUCACACCACGAGAGUUUGUAACACCCGAAGUCGGUGAGGUAACCUUUUGGAGCCAGCCGCCUAAGGUGGGAUAGAUGAUUGGGGUGAAGUCG
rnacentral:rRNA from 1 species